rnacentral:rRNA from 1 species
UAACAAAAACAUUUCUAUUAGAUUUUAUUAAUAGUAUAAUCUGCUCAAUGAUAUUAAAUAGCCGCUAUUACUGUGCUAAGGUAGCAUAAUCAUUUGUCUUUUAAUUAAAGACUAGAACAAAAGAUUGAACAUUUUAAUUAAUAUAUCCAAACUAAUUAAUUAAAUUUAUUUUAAAUGUAAAAAAACAUUUAUAAAUUAGAAAGACGAUAAGACCCUAUUAAACUUAACUUAAGUUAAACUGGGGCAGUUAAUUAAUUAUCAUUUUAAUUUAAAUACAAAAACAAAUAGAUCCUAUAAAAUAGAUUAAAUGAUCAAGUUACUAUAGGGAUAACAGCGUAAUAUUAAUUAAAAGACCUUAUUAAAAUAAAAGAUUACGACCUCGAUGUUGAAUUAAUAACCUAUAUAGUUGCAAUAAACAAUAAAGG